AAAAAAAAAUAAUUUAUUAUAGUUAAAAAAAUUUAUUUAUAAUUUAUUUUACAUAUAAAUUUUUGUAAAUAAAAUAAUUUAUUUUAAAAAUAAUUUAUUUUAUUUGUAGUAAUUAAUAUUAAACAAUUUAAGAAAUUAUGAUUUAGUAAUAUUAAAAUUAAAAACAAAUUUUGUGCCAGCAGUUGCGGUUAUACAAAAUUUAAAUUAAAUUUUAUUAGUUAUUAAUAAAUAAAAUAAUUUAAUAAAUAAAAAAUUAAAUUAUUAGGUGAAAUUUUAAUUUAAUAAAAAUUUAUUUAAUAAUUAUUAUUUAAUAAAUUUUAUAAAGAAACUAGGAUUAGAUACCCUACUAUUGAAAUUUUAAAUUAAAAAUACUAAAAUAGUAAAUAAUUAUUUAUUGAAAUUUAAAUAAUUUGGCGGUAUUUUAGUUCAUUUAGAGGAAUCUGUUUAAUAAUUGAUAAUCCACGAUUAAAUUUACUUAAUUUAAAUUUUGUAUAUCGUUGUUAAAAAAAUAUUUUUUAGUAAUUUAAUAAUAUUUAAAAAUUUAAAAAUAAAAUUAAAUCAGAUCAAGAUGCAGAUUAUAAUUAAGAAUAUAAUGGAUUACAAUAAAUUUAUUUAAAUGAAUAUUAAUUUGUAAAAAUUAAUUGAAAGUGGAUUUAAAUGUAAUUUUAUUUAAUAUAAUAAAAUGAUUAUAAAUUAAAAUAUGUACAUAUUGCCCGUCGCUUUCAUAUAAAAAGUUGAAAUAAGUCGUAACAAAGUAGAGGUACUGGAAAGUGUUUCUAGAAAGA
rnacentral:ncRNA from 1 species